AUUGAACGCUGGCGGCAUGCUUUACACAUGCAAGUCGAACGGUAACAGGCCUUCGGGUGCUGACGAGUGGCGAACGGGUGAGUAAUGCAUCGGAACGUACCCAGAGGUGGGGGAUAACGCAGCGAAAGCUGUGCUAAUACCGCAUGUGAUCUGAGGAUGAAAGCGGGGGACCGAGCAGCAAUGUUUGGCCUCGCGCCUUUGGAGCGGCCGAUGUCGGAUUAGCUAGUUGGUGGGGUAAAGGCCUACCAAGGCGACGAUCCGUAGCUGGUCUGUGAGGACGGACAGCCACACUGGAACUGAGACACGGCCAAGACUCCUACGGGAGGCAGCAGUGGGGAAUUUUGGACAAUGGGCGCGAGCCUGAUCCAGCAAUGCCGCGUGCGGGAAAAAGGCCUUCGGGUUGUAAACCGCUUUUGGCAGGAACGAAACGGUGUCCGCUAAUACCGGGCGCUAAUGACGGUAACUGCAGAAUAAGCACCGGCUAACUACGUG
rnacentral:rRNA from 1 species